rnacentral:misc_RNA from 1 species
UUUCCGUAGGUGAACCUGCGGAAGGAUCAUUAUCGAGUUUUGACUGGGUUGUAGCUGGCCUUCCGAAGCACGUGCACGCCCUGCUCAUCCACUCUACACCUGUGCACCUACUGUGGGUAUCAGAUCGUGAAGCGUGCUCUUUUACCGGAGCUUGUGAAGCGUGUCUGUGCCUGCGUCUAUCACAAACACUAUAAGUAUCAGAAUGUGUAUUACGAUGUAACGCAUCUAUAUACAACUUUCAGCAACGGAUCUCUUGGCUCUC